rnacentral:rRNA from 1 species
AGAGUUUGAUCCUGGCUCAGGACGAACGCUGGCGGCGCGCCUAAUCCAUGCAAGUCGAGCGACGCAUGCCUUAGCCCGUAAGGGCGGGUGUGACGGAGCGGCGAACGGGUGCGUAACACGCGACCAAUCUGCCCCGAAGACCGGGAUAGCCCGGGGAAACCCGGAUUAAUACCGGAUGAUCUCACCAUCACGCAUGUGGAGGUGAGCAAAGGUUCAGGCGCUUCGGGAUGAGGUCGCGGCCCAUCAGCUUGUUGGUGAGGUAACGGCUCACCAAGGCAAUGACGGGUAGCUGGUCUGAGAGGACGAUCAGCCACACUGGAACUGAGAUACGGUCCAGACUCCUACGGGAGGCAGCAGGAGGGAAUCUUGCGCAAUGGGCGAAAGCCUGACGCAGCGACGCCGCGUGGGGGAUGAAUGCCUUAGGGUUGUAAACCCCUUUCACGAGGGAAGAAACUGACGGUACCUCGAGAAGAAGCCCCGGCCAACUACGUGCCAGCAGCCGCGGUAAUACGUAGGGGGCGAGCGUUGUCCGGAUUUAUUGGGCGUAAAGGGCUCGUAGGCGGCUUGGCAAGUCGGCCGUGAAAACCCAGGGCUCAACUCUGGGACGCCGGUCGAUGCUGCCAUGGCUAGGGUCCGGUAGAGGGGAAUGGAAUUCCCGGUGUAGCGG